rnacentral:tRNA from 1 species
UGAUAAGAUGGCUGAGAUUAGGCGAUAGAUUGUAAAUCUAUUAACGAGGGAGUUCCUCUUUUAUCAU